rnacentral:rRNA from 1 species
UACGGAGGGGGCAAGCGUUAUCCGGAUUUACUGGGUGUAAAGGGAGCGUAGACGGCAGCGCAAGUCUGGAGUGAAAUGCCGGGGCCCAACCCCGGAACUGCUCUGGAAACUGUGAAGCUGGAGUGCAGGAGAGGUAAGCGGAAUUCCUGGUGUAGCGGUGAAAUGCGUAGAUAUCAGGAGGAACACCAGUGGCGGAGGCGGCUUACUGGACGGUAACUGACGCUGAGGCUCGAAAGCAUGGGUAGCGAACAGG